GGUGGCAAUCAUUGUUUGAAAGUAUUUGGUGUUAAAAACUUCAUAAGAUUAAAGAAGCAUGGAAUAUUUUCCACGUUAUUUAUUUAUUUUAUUUUCAUCAGCGAUAUUUUUUGAAGGAGGAGAUUGCGGAACAGUUCAAACUCCAGCAUCUGUCACAGCAACAAUAGGAUCAUCAGUGGAUUUAACUUGUGAAUAUACUUUAGAACCAGGUAGUGUACAGUGGGCUUAUUGUCUGGCAAGCCAAUAAUACAGGGACAUCUGAAUAUGAGACUAUUGCCACAUUUUCACCUCCUGGAUUAGGGAGCAACUCUUUUACCACCACAGAAUCUGCCAUGAAUAUUAAAGAUAGAGCGGAGUUACUGAAUGUAACUUCCAUUGGUUCUGACACUUAUCGUGCUGUGAUGAGAGUUCUUGAAGUGCAGCGUUUGGAUGAGAAAGAAUACCGGUGUUCUGUUACUUUUACAAGUUCAAGUACUGGUCCCCAGACAGAAACUGCGGUAACCUCUCUUACAGUUCAAGCAAAAAACGCAGGCUCUCCAUCUAAUCUGUGCCACCACCAACUUUGUAUCGCAGUUUUGCUGAUAUCAACUUUCGGUGCUUUAGUACUCUGAGAUGAGCUUCACGUCUACCUGCGUAUACCUUGGACUUCAAGCCUCAGUCUCAUAUCAGUAGCUGUGAGAAAAGGGAAUUUUAUUAAGUGAUUGACUUUAGCAAACUUUGAUCAGAUGUGAUUCUGAUUUGUGUCACUAAUGCAAAAAUAAGUGUUUUAAAUGUUUUCUGAUUGUUGUUGAUAUCAAGUUUCUGAAUUGUUCUUAUUUUCCAUGAAUGCAAACACAAUCAAAUGUGCAAUUAAUCAUAUUAAUCAUUUGAAUAAAAUAAUCCUUCCUGCAA